AGUGAACGCUGGCGGUAGGCCUAACACAUGCAAGUCGAACGGCAGCACAGUAAGAGCUUGCUCUUACGGGUGGCGAGUGGCGGACGGGUGAGGUAUACAUCGUAAUCUACUUCUUCGUGGGGGAUCACGUAGGGAAACUUACGCUAAUACCGCAUACGACCUACGGUUGAAAGCAUUGGAACUUUGCACCUUGUGCGAUUGAAUGAGCGGAUUUCGGAGUUGUUAGUUGGCGGGGUACAGGCCCACCAAGGGGGCGAUCCGUAGCUGGGCUGAGAGGAUGAUGGGGCACACUGGAACUGAGAGACGGUCCAGACACCGACGGGAGGCAGAGGUGGGGAAGAUAGGAAGAAGUGCGGAAGCCUGAACCAGCGAUACAGCGUGGAUGAAGAAGGCCUUCGUGUUGGAAAGCCCUUUUGUUGUGAAAGAAAAGCAGCAGGUUAAAACCCCGCUGUUCGGACGGUACCCAAAGAAUAAGCACCGCCUAACUUCGU
rnacentral:rRNA from 1 species